rnacentral:lncRNA from 1 species
UUAGAUUGCCCAGUGGAUGCGAGUGAAUCCUUUCAAAUUGGAUUGUGUGUGUCCUUAAGGUCGUGCUGCAGUACAGCGACAUAAGCUUCGCGUUGCCCGGCGCGUGCAUCUCAACAGCGGGGACGAGGACAGUGGCAUAUUUUCAUUGACAGAAUUACUAAAGAACCGCCACUUGGGAUGGCCUUCACCAACCCUACCAUGCAGAUAUUAGCUAUGUGAAAGAUCUGGAAAAACAAAAUGGGGAUGGCUGAGAGGUCGUGUGUGGCGGUGAGCAGCUGAGGUCGGCUGUGAUCUGAGU